rnacentral:rRNA from 1 species
GAGUUUGAUCAUGGCUCAGAACGAACGCUGGCGGCAGGCCUAACACAUGCAAGUCGAGCGCAGUAGCAAUACUGAGUGGCAAACGGGUGAGUAUAAUGUGGGAAUCUGCCUUUUGGUUUGGAAUAACACGAGGAAACUUGUGCUAAUACCGGAUAAGUCUUUACGGAGAAAGCUUUAUGCACCAUUGGAUGAGCCCGCACUUGAUUAGUUUGUUGGUAGGGUAAUGGCCUACCAAGACUAUGAUCAAUAGCUGAUUUGAGAGGAUGAUCAGCCACAUUGGGACUGAGACACGGCCCAAACUCCUACGGGAGGCAGCAGUGGGGAAUCUUGCACAAUGGAGGAAACUCUGAUGCAGCGAUGCCGCGUGAGUGAAGAAGGCCUUUGGGUUGUAAAGCUCUUUCGUCGGGGAAGAAAAUGACUGUACCCGAAUAAGAAGGUCCGGCUAACUUCGUGCCAGCAGCCGCGGUAAUACGAAGGGACCUAGCGUAGUUCGGAAUUACUGGGCUUAAAGAGUUCGUAGGUGGUUGAAAAAGUUGGUGGUGAAAUCCCAGAGCUUAACUCUGGAACUGCCAUCAAAACUUUUCAGCUAGAGUAUGAUAGAGGAAAGCAGAAUUUCUAGUGUAGAGGUGAAAUUCGUAGAUAUUAGAAAGAAUACCAAUUGCGAAAGGCAGCUUUCUGGAUCAUUACUGACACUGAGGAACGAAAGCAUGGGUAGCGAAGAGGAUUAGAUACCCUCGUAGUCCAUGCCGUAAACGAUGUGUGUUAGACGUUGGAAAUUUAUUUUCAGUGUCGCAGGGAAACCGAUAAACACACCGCCUGGGGAGUACGACCGCAAGGUUAAAACUCAAAUGAAUUGACGGGGACCCGCACAAGUAGUGGAGCAUGUGGUUUAAUUCGAAGAUACGCGCAGAACCUUACCAACACUUGACAUGUUCGUCGCGACUCUAAGAGAUUAGAGUUUUCGGUUCGGCCGGACGAAACACAGGUGCUGCAUGGCUGUCGUCAGCUCGUGUCGUGAGAUGUUGGGUUAAGUCCCGCAACGAGCGCAACCCUCACUUUUAGUUGCCAUCAUUAAGUUGGGCACUCUGAAAGAACUGCCAGUGAUAAGCUGGAGGAAGGUGGGGAUGACGUCAAGUCCUCAUGGCCCUUACGUGUUGGGCUACACACGUGCUACAAUGGCAUCUACAACAGGAAGCAAAACGGCAACAUUAAGCAAAUCCCGAAAAGAUGCCUCAGUUCGGAUUGCACUCUGCAACUCGAGUACAUGAAGGUGGAAUCGCUAGUAAUCGCUGGUCAGCAUACAGCGGUGAAUACGUUCCCGGGUCUUGUACACACUGCCCGUAACACCAUGGAAGUCGACCCUUCCCUAAGUCGUUACUCGAACCUGUAAAGGACGAGGACGCCGAAGGCAGAGUUGGUGACUAGGGUGAAGUCGUAACAAGGUAACC